rnacentral:rRNA from 1 species
GACGAACGCUGGCGGCGGGCUUAACACAUGCAAGUCGAACGGAAAGGCCCGGCUUUUGUGGGGUGCUCGAAGGAAGAACGGGGGAGUAACACGUGAGUAACCUGUCCUUGACGUUGGGAAAACUUAAGGCAACUGAGGCUAAUACCGGAUAGGACCUCCUGCUGCAUGAUGGGGGUGGGAAAGUUUCGGCAGUUGGGGAUGGACUCGCUGCUUAUCAGGUUGUUUGUGUGGUAGUGUCUUACCAAGGCUUUGACGGGUAGCCGGCCUGAGCUGGUGAGCUGCCCCAUCGGGCCUGAGCUACGGCCCAGACCCCUACGGGAGGCGGAAGUGGGGAAUAUUGCACAAUGGGUGGAAGCCUGAUGCAGCAACGCCGCGUGCGGGAUGUCGGCCUUCGGUUUGUAAUCCGCUUUCGCCUGUGACGAAGCGUGAGUGACGGUAAUGGGUAAAGAAGCACCGGCUAACUACGUG